CUUCUUAAGGAUUUGAGCUGUGAUGCUGGCACCUGGCAGACCACAUCCUGUGCGGUUUUCAGUUUUGCUCCGUUCCUGACCCUGGUAUAGCAGAAGCUUUUUCACAUCUAUGACACCCGCUAUGUCUUGGUAAACCCUGGAAGGGAAAGGAGGACAAGGUUAAAAUACUGUUCCGAGGAUCUGGUCUCUCCACAGCGCAGGCUGGAGGUGGCAGCCCGUGGAAAGCCAAGUUCAUCCACCAUCGGAGCCCAGGCCAGGCUGCCAAGGCUAAUAUUCAGGACAAAGCCAGGCACAGGUCGGGAAUCCUAUGAAGAUGAUCAUCGUCCUGAGGUCUUCCUUCCAGGGUUGCAUCCGCGACAGAAGAUGGAAAGAGAAAUGGUGCUCUGCCUGGCCCAGACCAUCCACACGCAGGAGGAAGAUCUGCCCAGACCCUCCAUCUCGGCUGAGCCAGGCACCGUGAUCCCCCUGGGGAGCCAUGUGACUUUCGUGUGCCGGGGCCCGGUUGGGGUUCAAACAUUCCGCCUGGAGAGGGAGAGUAGAUCCACAUACAAUGAUACUGAAGAUGUGUCUCAAGCUAGUCCAUCUGAGUCAGAGGCCAGAUUCCGCAUUGACUCAGUAAGUGAAGGAAAUGCCGGGCCUUAUCGCUGCAUCUAUUAUAAGCCC
rnacentral:misc_RNA from 1 species